rnacentral:rRNA from 1 species
UACGUAGGGCGCAAGCGUUGUCCGGAAUUAUUGGGCGUAAAGAGCGUGUAGGCGGCCAGACAAGUCUGCUGUGAAAACUCGAGGCUCAACCUCGAGCUGUCGGUGGAAACUGUCUGGCUAGAGUCCGGAAGAGGAGAGUGGAAUUCCUGGUGUAGCGGUGAAAUGCGCAGAUAUCAGGAAGAACACCUAUGGCGAAGGCAGCUCUCUGGGACGGUACUGACGCUGAGACGCGAAAGCGUGGGGAGCGAACAGG